GGGUGGUUAGCUCAGGGGUAGAGCUUCUGCCUUACAAGCAGGAAGUCACUGGUUCAAAUCCAGUACCACCUA
rnacentral:tRNA from 1 species